AUCAAUUUUGGGUUUUGUUGCAAUUGCUUUUAAGGGAGGAAGACAUUUCAUUUUUAUAGAGAAAGAAGGAAGAUAAAUGGAAUAAGAUUUUGAACUUGGUAUAAAUGGGAAGGUAUAUGUUCUGAACAUAGGAGAAAGAUACCGUAUGCUCUGAGACUGACAGGGAGAAGGGGGCAGGGAUUACUGGUGUCUGAAGGUACAAGGACAGGAAAUAGAGUGAGUUCAUGCUUUGUUUAUUUUGCAAAAUCAUUUGUGAAUUGUAGGAAAGGAAGGCAAGGUAAUUUGCCCCAGGGGUUUUGAGAGUGGAAAGUUUUGGAAUGGCUGUUUACAAUUGGAUGUGAGAUAGCCAAGUAGGGCCAGGGAAUAGUUAGCUGUGUGGUGUUGAGUCACAUUAAUUUAACAAGCAUUUCCUGAAUUCUUGCUACAUGUCAAGCACUUGGCUAGGCUCUGGAGAUACAGAGAUUAAAGAUCUGGUCCUGGUCCUUGGGAGUUUACAGACAUGUCAAUCACUAUUUACUCUGUGGGUGCUGCUAUGGCAGCUGAGAAGAGGAAAGUCUUUCUCAGCUUGGGUAGGAGACAGAAAUGGAUAUGUUUUCCUUGAAGGAGAGCUUCUUAGACCCUAUUAGGUGCUACAAGAUCAUCUUGUUUUCAAGCAAAUUAAUAGCAGAAUAUUCUUAAGGUCUAAGUUAUACACUGAAUGGCAUCUGACAGUACAGUAGGAAAUUAAACUACAAAAUCUAAAAAUAAUGAACACCGAAGUCUUAGGCAGAGUCUUUCAAUUGUUAGUUACGAAAAUCCAAAGUAAGUUAAAGAGGAGAAAAAAAAAUUGAAAUUGUUGAUUCACACCAUUGCAACAAUUUAUAAAUCACUUUUGGUUUCAGAAAUGGCUACAUUUAGGGGUUGAAAUAAUAUCAACAUGUCUCGAUCUUUCUAGGAUUUUGAGAAAGGAGCCUCCUCUAUACUCCAACAGUUUCAUAUCAUACACCUAUAAGCCUGUGUAUUUCCCUUUGAGAAGGUGAGAAGGAAAACUUUCCCUUUAAACUUUCUCUUUUGCUACAGCUAUGCCGCAGAACUUUGAGUCCCAGGUUCAGAAAAGCUGUGUUCUCUGUCCAAUCUGCCCGCCGAAUCUGAUGAGAACAUUUUGCCUUACCCUUAUAGUUUCAAAAAAUAUACUAUUUUAUAUUUUUUAAAAGUUUGGGGUAACACUAUUAUCAAACCUACAAUUAAAGCUUCAUCUUUAUUAACAAAGUAGCCGCUAAUUAUCUGAACAUAAUUCUGAAUACAUACCAUGUGCAAUUCUAGUGUUGAGAGUUAAUAAUUUAAACUGAAGAAUAUAAAAAUGUACAUUAGAAUCUUAGAUGCAGAUGUAGGCAAAGUCAUAUGUGCUUGAGAAAGAAUUUUUGUGUUAUAUAACUUGGGAUAGAUAAAGCAUUAUAAAACCUUCAGUACAGGGUCUUCCUUAACAUUCAAAUGUGCUGGCCUGUUAACUGAGAUUGUUAAGAUUUUUAAUGAAAUGUAAUCCAAAUAACUAUUAAACACUAGUUUAAUAGUUUUGUUUUAAUAGUUUUUCCUAGUUUUUUGUUUUAAUAGUUUUUCCUAGUUUUGUUUAAUACUUUCAGGAUAUCUGAUCAUGAAAAUAUAAUGUUUCUGAAGCAAUUUUUUUAAGAAGUUCAGACAUAGUCACAUGAGGCUAAUCUUAAGACUAUUUGACUAUAUUAUAAGCAAGAGAAUUGAUGUUUUGGGAAGCUGAGAAAAUAAUGUAUAUAUGUUUUAUGUAAUCAUUAAGAAUCAUUUUAGUGUACCUUAUUGCAUAUAUCUGAUUUCUGUACUCCUUUUUUUGGUUAGAAAAAUGACCACAAUAGCUAUAAAACAUUGCUUCCUUUACCUAGUUUAUUUCAACUUUGUCAUAUCCUCAUUUGCAUUCAUCUGUAAGUGAGCAAUUAACAUUAUUAUUUGUGUUGCUCUUAAGUAAUAAAAUAUUAUCCCAUAAAUUGUGCUUUAGGUAGUCCAGUUUUAUUACUAUGAUUAAUAACUAUGAUAAUAAUUAUUAUUUGUACAUCAUUUAACAUUUUUUGGCAUAAGAAAUCAUCACCACAAUAAAGGCAAUGAACAUAUUCAUCCACUGAGCAUUAAUAAUGUUUAAUGCUUGGAUUUUGAAACUAUGUUAGAGAGCAGACUGAAGGAUGAAAACAUCAAGAUUGUCACUGAAUAGGAAAUAAAUGUCCUGCUAUGGAAGACAUGAAAUAAUAUAAAAAAUUUAAAGUUUCUGCACAACCCAGGGUAAAAAAAUGAAGCUUAUGACUCAGUCUUUGCAGUCAAAAUAUCUCCUCCCCUCCUUCGAAAUGAUCUCAAUGAGAUAAGGUUACCGCUGUGGUCAUCACAUUUUUUUAAGAGCAGGGCAUUCUGCCCUCUAAGUUUCUGGUCAGAGGUUGAAACAACGUAAAACAAAAUAAGCACCAUUGUUACAUAAGCACUGCAUGUAGACAAGGUAUAUUUAGCUUUGUAAGUAGUUCAGAAUACUAAAGAUUAGAAUAUCAAGGCUAAGAGCCUGGGGAAAUUUUUUUUAAAGAAAUGUUUCUGAGCAAAACCACAGCAAAAGUUAAAGAUUAGUGCUUACAAUACAAAGAAUGAUAAGCAACGUGCAUUAGAAUUUUACUGAAGAUAUUUUCUUAGUAACAACUCUACAUGGAAGACCCCUGGGCUCUUUAAAGUGGUAUGCAGAUGAAGAAAGACUGACUAGGAUGCCUUGGUAUUGUUCAGGGCAGAAGGAAGACAGAGAGACAAAAGAUUGCUGAUCUAUAAAGGGCUCUAAGUGGAAGUCCAAAACUCACUUUUUCCUGACUCAUCAUUGAGAUUGUGCUUUUCAUUCAUAGUUUAACCAUCUUUACUCAAGAUGGUAAAAGAGCAAUAGGAAAAUCUGGGGAAAGAAAAAUAUGGGUAGGAAUUCAAAAAUGUAUCUAUGAAUGAGGUGGGAACACAGGAUUCAUGCUGUGUAGUCCGGCACAUUCAGAAGUGAUCUCAAAUUUGGUUCUGAGAUUUCUAGCAGCAAGCAAAAAGAAAGAAGGCAAAUCAGUUACAAGUGUCACACAUUUCAUAAGAUCAGAGUUGUUCCAGGGAAGCAAAACUCUUCACUGACACUAAAGGGAGAUAUUUCUUCUGUCAGUUGUUUUAUAGUUAAGGAAAUGGUGGCUCCUCUCCUUUUGACUUCAGUGUUAGGAAGAAUCUUCUGAUUUCCUAGAAUAUUGAAUAAAAGGUGGAAAUCUCUUAAUGAUAUCAUAAAAUGUAAAAAAAAAUUGCCAGCAUAAUUUUUAUCUCUAGAAAAAUGCUUUUGACAUUUGGAAUUAUGUUAAGAAUAUGUUAUUGUUUCCAGCACUACCUAAAUACCAGUAAUAACCAAGGUGCUAUCAAACUAUGGAUAUCCGUGAUAUUUAACAUGUUUCAUGCUAUUUUGCAGGUCUUGAAGUGCAUUCACAUAAUCACUUCAAAUUUUUAUAGUAUUUCUGCAGAGUAGGUAACAUUAACUCUAUUUACAGUGAUUUGCCUGCUGGUUUGAGGUCAAGGGACUUGCUUGAGCUCAGAAAUAAGUGGUAUAGUUGGAACUUAACUUAAAUCUAGAAGCUAAUUUUUAAAAUGUUUUUCCCACUACGGAAAUUACAGUUCAAUUUUGCAAGGAAAAUCUCCCACUUACUCAUUUAUCGUAGGUAUAGCGUGUCUUUUCAAUACGUAUUUAAUAUAUUAGCAGCAUCCUUUUAUUGCUGCAAUCUUGAUAAUAUGGAAUAGGCUGGAGAAUAAUGGGCACAAUAAAAUAACUACCAUUUAUCAAGUACUAUAUAAUUUAAUUUAGUUAUUAGAAUAGCUCUGUAAGGUAAGUACCAUUGUCCACAUUUUGCAGAUGAGGAAACUGAUGUGAAGAGAAAUAAAAUAAUAACAUAGCUGAUAUGUAACAGAGCCAAAAUUCUAAACAGGCCUGCCCAACUCCAAAACCCUUAUGUUUUUCAUCAGCUUGGCAACUUUUAUGAUAUACAUCAAGGAAGUUUCCAUGAUGGUAGAGUUAAUUAGGUUUAAGACCAUUAUUACUCUGUCCUUACCAGGAAGGUUACAGAAAAUAUACCUUCCUGCACUAGCUGCUGCGUAAAUGCCUACUUACUCUCUGGGGUAUAUUAAUGUUGGCAAACAGCACAGUUUUCUUAUACCAGGCUAUAAGAAAUAUACCUAUGUGUACCUAUAUUCAAGAAAUAUGUACCUAUAUUCAAGAGCAGAGCUUUUGAAGUUGCCAAGGUAAAACUGCUAGCCUGACAUCCAUUUGAUCCAUAAAAGUGAAUAGUGAGUGAGUGUCCCUGCACAUGGGACAAAGGAGACUGUCCCAUGUAUGUUGCAUAGAACUUUAGAAUGUUGCAUAGAACUUUAGAAUUCUGUACAUUAACACCUUCUUCUUUCCCUUCUUUAUGGCAUUUGAGAUAUUAAGUGGAUGCUGCCAUUUUCAGUUCAUCUGGCCAAGGGAAAUCAUGGGUUUAGCAAGAAGAGAGUUAGUAAGAGCAACAUGUAACUAUUCCCAUCCACUUAAACUUCCACACCUUCCAUUUAUUUUUGUGUUCAUAUUUUAUUUGUUUUUUUCAGGUGCCAUGGUAGGUGUUACAGUGAGUGCAAAAUUGAGAGGAAAAAUAGCCUAUACUUUAAAGGAAUUUAUGAUUUAGCAAUGGGUGAAGAGGAAAGAUAAGCAUUUUAAUUUAAAAAAGCCCUCCAGGCUCUAUAAGCUAAAUGGCCAAGAAAAAUAGAACCAUGAAGAUUAAAUGCAUUAGUAAGCGGAGAGAUACAAAUGAAAGCAAUAAUAAGAUGUCACUAAAGCGACCAUGUAAUGUGGCAAGAGUUAGAAGAUCAGAGAGAGCCAAAUAAUGGCAGUAAUGUAGAGAUGUGGUGACCAACAUGGACUGCUGUUGACAUUGCAUAGUGAUGCAGACAUUCUAGAGAACUGUUUGGCAUUACUUAGGCAAUAAGGUCACCUAUUCCUAUGACCCUGAAAUUCUUCUCUUUGACAUAUAGAUUAAGGAAAUUCUCAAACAGGUCUACAGUGGUCAGAUAUGAACAUACUCAUUUCUGGUGACCAGUAGUUGAUUGUCAAAAGUGUGAGGAGUAAUCAUCAUGCAAUGAUUAGAAGUUCCUGUGGCAACUUGGAAGGGUUGUAAAAACCAGCAUGGUGCAAUCAAGAAAGGAGCAUGAGAUCUAUCACAGAGUCCAGUUACAUAAAUGAGAAUGAAUGUAUAAAACAGUACAUAUUUUGCAAAAGUUAUACUAAAUAGAAUAGUUCAUAUGGGAAGAAGAGCCUAGAGAUUGGAUUGGAAUUACAAAGAAAUGUAAAUAUAACAGAGGGACUAUCCAUGAACCAAUAAUUAUAAUGUUCCAUUAAAUAAGGAGUAUGCCAAAUUGAAACCUCUAAACUAGAAAAAAACAAAAAAACCUGGAGAUCCUAUGGGAUAAGAGGUCACAACUUGGAGAGUUCAGGAUGUAUUUCAUGAAGGAGGUGGCAUUUGAGCUGUAUCUUGAAGAAUGGGUAAAAUUUUAAACAGAUAUUAGGGAGGACAGGGAGCUGUCACAGGUAGGAAGUAGUGGAAUAUAUGAAGAAAGCCUUCCACCAGGGAGGAAGGUCAGGGCCAGCAAAUGCUUGGCAAUCCAGUGGUAAGGGACAAGGAUUUAUUUAAAAGAGGGAGUUCACUUUGGUUGGAGCAGAAGGUAUGUGUGAGGCAAAGUAAAGACAGUGAACAGUUAUUUAGCUCUCUGUGUCAGGCAUUGGCCUGAGUACUUUAUGCAUCAUCCCUCACAAAGGCCAUAUGAAAUAGACAAUGUAGUCAUAACCUUCAUCAUCACUAUCAUCAUCAUCAUCAUCCACUUCACAGAUGAGUAAGCCAUGUCUCAAAGAGGUAAAUAACUUUUCAGCCACGUUCCUGCAGUUGCUAGAGUCAUAAGGAACAGCCUGGAUAUAGCUCUUCCUCUACCAUGACUCCCUUUCUCCAGGGAUGCCUCACACUUUCGAAAAAUAGGGCUGUUUUCUCUAUCCCUGUCAAUGUAGAUGCAGAGGGGCUUGGUGGUGAAGUGGUUAAGUAAGUAGGAACUCAGCCUUACACUAGGUAUGGCUUUAAUUACCCCAUAGUACUGAUUAGUUUGAUAGCAAAAAGGGAUAUUUGAGAAGGAAACUGCCCAUAUUAUAAAGCCCUGCCUAUGAAAUAAAGGCCUUUUUGCUCAUGUGUGUCUCAUUGAAAUGAUGGAGGGUCUCUGCCAACAUCAAGCUAAAUAAGGAGAAAACAUUUAUAAGCACCCUUUUAACUCUGUUAGAGCUAUGCAUUCUGAAAUCUCUUCAAGUAACAAAUGGGUAAGAACAAAAGGGGCAGAACUGGCCUUUCAACUACAAAGACUGAGUCUCAAGCUUUAGGGAGCCCUGUUUAUGAUACUGAUUCAAUAUAAACUCCAAGCUUCUAUGCAGUUAAACAUGGGGGAAAUGGCCAUGUCUAUAGGGUAGGAUUAUGACUCUCAAGCAUUCUGAAAAUAAAUUUUGGACUUGUCAUUCCGGUUAACGUAGGAAUAGAAUUUGCUUCAUCAGCUAGGUGAACAUUUAGGCUAAUUGCUAUGGCUAUGUCUUAGAAAGUGACAUUUGUGACAUGAAAAACAAUUAAGUAUAAAAACCCACCAGUGAACAACAAAAGCCAAAAUGUCCAUGUGAACGAAUGUUUCAACAUGUCUGUUUUUAAUUUAUGCCUUCCUCUUUCUUGCAUCUCUACCCAUUUCUCAAAUUCUUCCCUGGCUAUUUACACUUCAAAACACCUGGGAUUGGGCUUCCAGCACCCGCUAUCAGAAGCAGAGAUUAUCCUGCUGAAAAUAUGAUUUUACAUGUUAAAAUUUAAGUUAAUAUUCCUUAUUUAGUUCAAAAACAGUAUGUUUUAAAAUCUAGCUAUUCUAAAAUAUAUGCAGCUCAAUAAACGAUAACAACUACAAAAUUUUCACAAAUAAAAUGUUCAAACCUGAAGAUCUUGAUAAAGGAAUUAAAAAAAUGAAGGCUACAACACACAGACUGAAAACAGGCUCUUCAUAGUUCAGGGUUGGAAGACUCUGCUGUACAUCUGUUUAACAUCUUGCAGUUUGAAGAACCCUGCCUUGCAAAACCUUCUGUACCAGUGACACACAGAAUAAAAGGUUAUAUUAUGACUUUCAGAUGGAAACCUCCAAAAGUUUAUCUGCUGGACUGGACCAUUAACUCAUGUUACUUUUGAUUCUAAGCAUUAAAAGUAUUUUUCAUGUGCAAAUUAUAAUGAACUUUUAGGUUUAUAUCAGAAAGCACCAGAAAGAAUUCUUACUUGGAGAGAGUGAACAUGCUAUGGAAUGAAUAGAAUGUUUUAGUUGUGAUGUUCAAAUGGAACUAAAAGUCCCCCAAUAGGGAAUUUAUAGAGUGCAUUUUAAUAAUGAGUAUAUAUGCUUAUAUAUUGAGUUGGGAACAAAAGUACCACAUUUGAAAUAUGAAAGUAUUCCAAACUUCCAUCACUGCCAACAUUUAUUGAAAGUUUAGCUGAGAGAACAGAAGCCUAUUUUCAGGUAUGACUUCACAAAAAUGCUCAUCUAUUGAUGUGGCAAAAAUCAUACUUGAUAAGGAGGAGCUCUAGUUUGGAGUAACGUAAUAGAAAAAUUAGGAAUCACUUUUGAGUUCAGUAGGCUACCAGAAUUGCAUUGUCUUCGCUAACAAUUUACUUGGCUUUGGUGAAGGUGGAGAGAUUUUUUUUGGGGGGGGCAGUUUCUAAACACACCCGGUCUCCUCUGUUAAGCUCUGUCUCCUCUGCCAUGUGGAUGUGCAUUUUCUUAAUUUGUAGGAAGGAGAUACUUCCUUUUCCUCCACCACCCAGGAGACUUCACUGCCAACCUCUGGCCCCUGUGUCUGCAGCACCCAGCACACAGAUCCUAUAUAUGCUGUGGGAAGCUCACUGUGCCGCAAGUGGGUGAAGGAGCAAAGGAGAGGUAGCAUUUCCUUUAGAGACACACACACCCUCUGACCCAGACGAAGGAAGAAUCUAUUCUGCAGUGGGCUUGCUGCAAGGGACUUUCCAUGUGCAUUUUAUUAUGCCGUAGCUGAUGAUGGUGACAAGUUCCACAUUAGCUAUCUGUCUUUUCUGAAAUUUCACAUUCUCUUCUUUUUGUAGGGAAAGUGCUAUCGCUGUGUAAACAGUAUCAUUUAAUUAGACGGUGUCCGUUUUCUCUUGUGUACCAUGAAAGUUACCUUGCCCUCACUCUGGGACUGUUGUAGACUUUGGUUAUGCAGUGAUUACCUGAGCUUUGGGGGACAGUGGGGUAUACAUAUUGACAUUGGUAGUAGCCAGCAGUUUUCACUAGGGAAAUCAGUUUAGUAUACUGUUAUUAAUUUGGUUUAGAAAAUAGCUGCAGAGUGCUCAGACAAAUAAGAUGUAGCAGAACACAUGGUGUUCGUUAUUCAAUAACUAUCCUUCUGCAAAGGAAGCAUGGUCUAUUUCCCAUUUGAGAAGGAGCUUACAAAAACUAGUAAAUAUGAAAAGAGGGCAUUUACUAUAAUUUUAUAGAAUAGCUGUCCUCAUGUACUUAUACAGCCCCCACCUCUCUCCCACACCCACCAAUCACAUUCACACAACAUGUCCACAUAGAAUGUAUUCCCAGCUGGUAUUAGCAUAAUCAUUACCACAUUAUAAACAAACCUGUGGAAAAAUAGCCUGAGAGACUUAGAUGGUUUGUUUUAUAAAUGAAGGUGGGGGUAGAAAACCAGAUAUUUUUGGAACAAAUUCCUCUCUCUUUAGAAAUGAUAGCUCAGCUCUCAUAAACCUCAAUUGAUAGCAUGGACUGAAGAGGUGGAAUUGAAGAAAGUCAUGACAUAUUUGGUAUUCCUUGGUGAAGGUCAAUGAAAGGUCUUCUAUGGAGCCCUUUUGCUGGAAGAAGUCCUCACGAUAGAAAUGUUGAGCCUUCCUUUUUUACUUUCUUACUGGAGCAUACAUGGAAUACCUUUUUUUCUGGUUUAAUGUAGUUCCUGUUGGUCAAGAUCUCUGGCUGUUUCUCCUUUCUCUAUUGUAUUUUUCCUGGAGUUGACUAGAUGAGAAAUCCUGACUUAGUGGAUAAUUCCAAGUUUACUGCCAAGACCAGAAAUAAAAUAUGAUAUAAAAUAUGGCCUUACCUGAAAGCUUCUGGACAUUAAAUGCUGUUAGAUCCAGUUUUCACUGGAAAAAGAACCCAAGACAAAGGAAGGAAAAUAAUUUUAUGAAUGUAAGAGUUGGUUUGUGUGUCCAGGUUCUAAGAGAUCAGACAACAGGCUGAAAAGAGAUUUGGUGUACCAUCCUUUUUUCUUUCUUUCUUUUUCUGUUUGAUUUUUACAGUUAUACAGAGAAUAUCUAAGUAUGCUUGCCACAGAAGAAUCAUGGAUGUGGUCUUUUAAACAUCUGACUUUGGAAAUACCCAGAGAACUGUGUGAUGGGGAUGGAGAUGGCAUUAAUGAAUGUGAUUCAGACAGUGCACUCUCUGUGGGCUUAUUGCAUCUGUGGCCUAGUGAUUUGUUUGUAAGAUUGCCUUAAUUUGAUCAGAUAGGCUCAGUCAUGUGUAUCUAUAAAAUCAGAAUCAUAUAUCAUGUGGAUCACAUGAAGUUCAACAUCCAGGAAGUUAAUCUUCAAGCCCAGUACUCAAAUGCCUUUCACCUUUGACAUUGAAUUUCUAUUUGGAAUCAAUUCAACAAGACUCUUUCCUCCUGCCCUGGCUUAGACUUAGACAUAGGGCAUCAUUACACGUAGCAGACCAAUGGGAAAAAAAUUCACACAUAUCACACUGGCAUGGCUGUUUGGAAUACUGGAACCUCAUUUUAAUCCCUGUAUACUGUCCUCAAAUUGCACCAAGGACUGUGCUUAAUGUUUCAUUAUCAAUAAAUUACUUGAUAGGAAGUAAUUAUACUCAUAUAUUGGCUUUUUUCCUUCAGAAAGGUAAUUAGAUUAAGACAAACCUAUUUCAAAGUAAUGUGCCCAUUUUUCCAUUAUAUGUUUGCAAAGUUAAUAAGGUAAUUGAUAUUGUAAAGAGUUUGCCAAAAGUCAGGUCAGUUCCAGGCCUUAAAAUCAAAGCCUGAUGUCCAAAAGAACUUGUAUAAUGUAUUAUUUAUUGAGCACUGAUGCAAUAUUCAGUAUAAUAUAAGACAACAAAAUUAAGCCAAUGUAUUCACAGUUUGAAUAAAAGCUUCUAAAUAUUUUUUCCUAUCGACAGUAGAAUCUUAGACUCAUUGAAAGGAAAAGGACCCUGGAGGAGUUAUGAUCUAUCAAACUCAUAGUAUAGAUGAAGUAUCAGAGGCUUAGGCAAGGGCAGUGACUUACCCCAGGGCAUAGUAGCCCAGCUAAAAUUAGAACUCAGUCCUAUUGACUUCCUGAAACUGACAAUCUGCCCCUUUUCACAGAUUCUACCCCAGGCCAUCAACUCAUCCUUUUUGCUCACUUUCUGCAGUAUAUUUCUGGUUCAAUAUUUAGCCUCUGGCCUUCCCCAACUCUACUUUGCAUGCCAUUAUAAGAUUAACCUUAUUCAAGCAUAAUUUUAAUAAUUUCUUAUAUAUUAGAGUUCUCCAGAGAAACAGAAGCAAUGGGAAACUUAAUGUAAUGAGAGAUAUAUCUCCUCUCACUUUUGUUUCUCUGGAGAAGAGACUAGUUAUAUGUAUAUGACUUAUAAGAAAUUGAAUUAUGUGAUUAGUCCAAAGAUUUGCAGUUGACAAGCAGGAGAGCCAGGAUGUAAUUCCACUAUGAGGACCGAAGAAGACCAAUGUCCCAACUCAAACAGCCAGGC